GCUCUAAUAGUAUAUUUAUUACUUAGGUCUUGUAAGCCUAGAAAGGGAAUCCCAAUCCCUUAGAGCA
rnacentral:tRNA from 1 species